GACGUAGGAGGCGAGCGUUAUCCGGAUUCACUGGGCGUAAAGCGCAUGUAGGCGGUUGCAUAAGUCAGGUGUGAAAGCCCUGGGCUCAACCCAGGAAGUGCACUUGAAACUGCGAGGCUAGAGUAUCGGAGAGGUUGGUGGAAUUCUCGGUGUAGAGGUGAAAUUCGUAGAUAUCGAGAGGAACACCGGUGGCGAAGGCGGCCAACUGGACGAAUACUGACGCUGAGACUCGAAAGCGUGGGGAGCAAACAGG
rnacentral:rRNA from 1 species